rnacentral:rRNA from 1 species
UCCGUAGGGGGCAAGCGUUGUCCGGAUUUAUUGGGCGUAAAGAGCGUGUAGGCGGUUCGGUAGGUCCGUUGUGAAAACUCGAGGCUCAACCUCGAGACGCCGAUGGAAACCCCCGAACUAGAGUCCGGAAGAGGAGAAUGGAAUUCCUGGUGUAGCGGUGAAAUGCGCAGAUAUCAGGAAGAACACCCGUGGCUAAGGCGGUUCUCUAGUACGGUACUGACGCUGAGACGCGAAGGCGUGGGGAGCGAACAGG